CUGAAUGAAAGGUCUUAACCUUAAUUGAUAGCAUGGUGGUUGCUGUCCCAGUCAGAGGCACAUGCCCAUAAACGAAACUGCACGAGCAUCUUACUUUCUCUUAAGGCAAGCUUGAGGUUUGCUGAGAAUUUUGUACAUCGCUGUUUAAAGGUUAAAUGUUCAAGUAUUAACCUUUUCCUCACUCAUUGAGCUAAGACGGUUGGUGUUGGCUUUAGAGGAAAAUAACAAGUCAAGACACAGAGAAUGAGGGAGGUGAAGUGUGUGUCAAUGCUAAUGUAUUUUCACUUCACUCUUUUCUGAAAAGUGAAAAAGAGAGGAAAGAAUCUGACAGUAAGGGUGUAUUCAACAAACCACCCUGAACGGGUAAUUAGCAGUGCACACACC
rnacentral:rRNA from 1 species